CUUUUAAAACACAAUUACUUCAUUAUCUAAGAUGAAAAUUUCUUUUCGAACUUCGCUUAUUGGCUUCAUUAUGCUCACAAUCUUUCUACUAGGAGUAUUGGUGUCUGCUCAGAAAGGAGGACCAACCACACAAAAAACUUGUGUUGAUGCAUACCCAAACAAUACUGGAAAAUGUGAUGCAAAGCAAUGUGCAGCCGAAUGUACCAAAAAGAGAAAAGGGGUUAGUAGGUGCCAAGAUAUAGGCAAAGGAGAUUUCCAAUGCAGAUGCCAUUAUAAUUGCCGUCCCUAAUAUUUUUAUCGACACUGAAGCUCAAAUUUAUUCUAUUAAAAUAAAAAUCACAAUUUAUUUUCAUGUGAUAUUUAAAAAAUGGACAUUUCCUAGAAAAUCAUGCUUCAUUUAUUUCUAAAUAAUAUUUUGACAUCAUAAAUAAAUCACUUCAUAUGUUAUUUAUCUACUAUAAUAACUACAUUGUUGGUUUGUUUUACCAAAAUAUUUUGUCAUUAUU